UUUCUGGAUAAAUUCUUAAUUCUUCUUUUUGUUUUUGUUGCAGAAUUCUUUUGCAGUGAAUGGUGGCAGCUUUGAUGGCAACAGCGUUGGUGACAACAGCUUCAAUAACAAUGGCAAUGAUAACAGUCCCCUCAUUUGGUAUUAAUGGCCCAGAGACCCACCACAGAAGCUAUCGAGAUACCUCCUACCCUGCCGUUUGCCCACGAGUACCACCUUUCUGCCAUUCCCUCUUGAAUUAUUGUUCUGGAUGAAUCUCUCUCUCUCUCUGCUGUCAACCCCCAGCAGAGACCCUUCUGCAAAUAAAGAAUCUCAUCUUUACUAACAAA